GCAGCAGAUGAAGGAGCUGUGAACACUGAGACCUGAAUGAGGUGGAGAAUGACAUUCAUUUGACUUUAUACUGUCUUUAUAUCAGGAUUCAUGACAAGUACUGUUUAAGAAGUUAAUGUUGUGGAUGUAGAUGUGAGAGGUAUUGAGGAUGGAGCUCUAAGUGAAAAGCUCUUUGAUAAUGUUUUAAAUAGUGUGAAUGUGUCUCCAAAGCAGAGGACAGGAGGAGGACAGUCACAUACAACACAUACGUUCCUCUCUUCUGGACUGAACACGUUUGAUUUGUCAACUGGAUUAAAUAUUCAGGCUUUGACACUAAUGGAUGCAGAUGUAGUUUUAGUGUAGUUUUAUUUAUUGACCUGUUGAUUGAUUUGUGUUUACUUGCUUCAUCUUGAUGUGAUUUGGUAUGACGUCUUGUGUUUCGGGGGCUGUGUUUGUGUAUCUGUUCUUUUCUUUUCCCCUGGAAUGAUGUUGUUUGUGGAGGUCUGGUGAGUUGGAUGAUGUCUCUGUUGGGAUGUUGAUGUCUUGUGCUACUACAUGAUGUUGGGUCAACAUGCUGAAAAGUUUGAUUUGUUGUAAGUUAGUUUGUCAUGAGGGACGAGUCGUGUAAAUGACCAGACACCAAAAUAAAAUAUGUAUUCAUUCAGCUGGUUAGUCCACAACUGUGACUGUACAGAGUUUAUAUAUGAUGCUCUGUUUCUCUCCACACACCACAAUGUAUUUCUUCCUCAGUUACAUAGAGUAGAUCUACUUUACUGUAUUAUUCUCAUCAGCAGGUAUCUGGAGACUUUUAGCAGAUAAACUCCACAUCAGUAAUGCAUGACUGUGUUUCUGUUGUUGACAUCAUGUCAUAACUAAAUGUUACAUUCUUGUUCCAGUGUCUCUCAUUGGUCUAAAAGUGAAGUCCAGUUCUUUGGGAAUCUGUUGUGUGCAGCAGCAGAGAGAGAACAGCAGACAGGAGAGAAGAUACUGGAGCUGUUAUCAUCAGUGUGCACAUAUGAAACAUUCCCUUUUGAUAUAAUAGAUGAUAAAGAUGAUCAGUGUGGUUCGCUGUUGGACCUGUACGCUCACCUGAAGGACUAUGACAGUGAAACUGGCCUGAGAGUCCUUCCAUCAUUACAGUCAGUUUUCCAGUCAGCUCCUGCAGUCUGGUCCAUAAACCUCUCAGAGAGAAAGAGCUCCAUCCUCCUGGAAGUGCUGAAACUCACAUCAGAGAAGAAACAAGUGAAGCUGACAGGCUGCUCACAUGAAGAGAGUGAAGUGAGGAGUUUCCUACAGUGUCUGCCUCAUAUCUCACAGCUCAGUGGUGAUCCAGAGUUCUUCCAGCGUGUGUGCACAUUAAUCUGUGUGAGAUCCAGAGAGGAGGCCGAGCAGUUGGCCUCUCUGCUGCAGCUCCUGGGCUUCACCCUGCAGUUCACAGGAGAGUUGGGCUGGAAAACCUGCAGGUCUGUGGGAAGAGUUCUCAGACUCUGUGGUUCUGAUGUAGAUCUGGUCCUCACACCCAGAAGGAUCUCUGUCAGAGGAGCCUCCCUCCUCUUUAGACAUACAACACAACUACACAGUCUGAGGCUUUCCAAUGGUACAGCCUUGUUUCUGUCUCAGUGGGUAAGAAGAAAGAGAGUGGCCUGUCUGUUGGCUGUUGAGGAGCUUUCUCUUGCCCCUCAGAGAGGUCUACCAUCAGAAAGAGUUCUGUUGAAGGUGGUCAGUAGUUUGGCAUCCCUGCUGAGAUACUGGACAGUCAGCCGGUUGGACCUGACUGAGUUCUGUGGUUCUGCUCAGAGUCUGGUUCCACUCCUGCUUCAUGAUGGUCCUCUGACAAUCAAGUAAAAGUUGUUCCUGAGCUUCAUAAACAAUCUUAUGAAUGAAAAUACAAAAUGUAUGAAUCAUUUACGUUUCUGAGAUAUACUCAUACAUUUCUAUCUGCAGACUGAGUGAGAAGCUUUCCCAGGAGCUCCUCUUCCUCCUCCAGGACGUCCAGGACCAGGACCUGACCUGCUCCUUCUUUAAUAAGGUUGGUGGAGACCUGAGCUCGUGUUCUCUGAACUGCGAGGUUCUUCACUAUCUGCUGCAGCAGCCGUCAGCUCAGACCAUCACUGUGAACCUGAGGAAGAACCGCUUCUUACAGGAGAACAUCAGAUGUCUGCUUCCCUUUCUGGAGAAGAUUGUAUUUAAAAGGUUCUUAGUUUGUUUUUUACCCUUUUACCAGAUACAGACAUCAGUUUAUCUUAUUUAACCAUCAGUUUGUUAAUUCUUUGCCUAAUCAAAGUGUUCUGGUGAUCACACUUUAUAUUUUCAGGCCCUGUCCCAGCUUUGUGUUGACCGCCAUCACAGAGAUCUAUCACACUCGUGCCAGUCCCUUUAUACCCAGUUUACUGAGGUCACUGGAUCAUGUGAUCAACCUGACCUGCAGAGAGAUGAACUCAGUGGACUGUGCUGCUCUGCUCUUCACCCUCCAACACUCUGACAGAGUUAAACUGAAGCUCCUCUUGACCUCCAUACCAACAGAGGAGAUGGAGUUCUUCCUCUUUACACUGGACAGAGUUUCUCAACUAAGGUGAGACAUUAUUGUUUGUUCUUCAAUGUGUCUGUCUUCUUCAACACACAGGAUAUAAUGCACCUCUCACUAAGACAGUUUGGGAGAAAAUGUUAUUGUUUGACUUCAUUUUCUUCUCAGAAUAAGUUUGGUUUGUUUCUAAACCUUAUGUUGGUCUGACUGCUUGUGUUUCAUGACUAGAACACGUAUAAGAAACACCAUGUUCCCAGGUCUUAGCUAUAAAUGCAAUGGUCUCUUUGUAACUUUUACUGAUUGAAAUGAAAUGUGUUUGUUUCCAACUUGUCUGAUCAUCUGACUUCUUUCGUCUCUUGACUUAUAACGAGUAUAAGUGAGGCAGUGUGUUCACAGUUCUAAGCUGUUAAAGUGAUCAUCUGAUAGAGAUGAAAGACAAAACUACAAUGAUAAAAAACCACCUUGAACAACAACAACAACAACAAGAACAACAAGAACGUUGCCCGGAUUGGCGUCACCGGGGCCCCACCCUGGAGCCAGGACUGGGGUUGGGGCUCGCAGGCGAGCGCCUGAUGGCCGGGUCAUUGCCCACGGGACCCGGCCGGGCACAGUCCGAAGGAGCUACGUGGGCCCGCCCUCCAGUGGGCUCACCACCCGUAGGACGGUUCAGAAGGG
rnacentral:lncRNA from 1 species